UGUGGUCUGGCAAAAGAAGAUGCCCCAAAUAACCUACAAUAAAAACAGCUUAAUGACCUAAGGAUCAAAUACAUUGCAAAAAUCCUGCUGCAUAGCCAAAAUGAAAACAGAAGAAAACUGGUCAAUUCUUUAAAUAAAUUCUUGGAAUUAGGGGUAGCAAGAAUUACUGAAUUUAAUAAAACAUGGUACAAGAGAAUAGAACAAAGGAUGGAGGAAUAUGUAGAUUAGCUUAAACGCUAUGAAUUGCUUUCAUUUUAUAACUUUUAUGUUGACUAAUGUAUUUGGUUUAGACUAUUGCAUCUACUUGUUUCUUAAUAAAACAUAUUAACGAAAACGUCAUGAUGAAUACUCCAUAAUGAAAACGCCAUUAGUUGACUAAUAAAUAAUAAGAAGAACUGAUGUUACUGUCUUUCUAAAACAUGUUAAUGAAAACGCCAUAAGUUGAAUAAUUAACAAAUAGUAAGAACUGAUGUUUAAAAUUAACGCCAAUAUUCAUAACUAAUCAGAUAUACGUAACCAGGUGUAAACGCUAUUGAUCUUAAACAAUAAGCAUAUAUUAGAACCCAAACGACAAUUAACAUUAAUAAUGAAAAAGCCAAAUAAUGUAUAUAGGAAGAACGCCAUUGAAACAUAAACGCCAUUUUCAAAAUAUUAAUUUGAAAAAAAAACGUCACUGAAACAAGCAUAAAGAACAAAACGCCAUAUCUGUUGGAAUUUUGUUUGAAACGGAAUUAUAACGCUAUUGAUUGAGGGAAACGUGGGCAAUGACAACCGUGCCCCUGUAUAUCAUUUAGUGCCUCCUGCCAUGUGUUCGACCAUGAUACGUUCUCACCGUUUUCACACUUUCAAUCGUUUUCUCCUGAUCCCAUUUCGUCAAACUUCUUAUAUGUCAAACACUUAUCAUAUUAAUAACUUGUCAAGCCAAUGAUUUUGUUAUUACUAUCCCAUUCAUUCAUCCAAACUUCCUAUAUGUCAAACACUUGUCAUAUUAAUAACUUUUCAAACCAAUGAUUUUGUUAUUAUUAACCCAUUCAUUCAUCCAUCCACCCACCAGCAACUCUUAAUAAUUCUGGUGAAAGACAUUUAUCAAUUGAUUAUGAACUAUGUUCUUCCUUAAUAGGAGAUGGAAAGGAUAAUGAAUUAAGAGAGAAAAGGAGGGAAAAUAUGUGAUUUUUUUUCGUAUUCCCGAGUUUAAUGAAAUGUAAAGGAAAAGAGAAGAAAACAAGCAUUUUAUAUGUUCCCGAGUUAGGAGGAAAAGAAAAGAAAAUAAUAAUUUUACCAUUAUACCCUUUAAACAUAAAACAUUUUAAUUAGAUUGGAGGGUAAUUUAGUAAUUUAUAGGAUUUUCUCUCCUAAUCUCUCCAAUUUGGGAGGAUGAAUAUAUUGAUAAAUUUUCUUCCUUUUCCCCCCUUUUCUCUCCCCUUCCCAUGUUAAAUGAAACUCGGGAACAUGGUUUUUCAUAUUUUCAUCUAUUUUCCCUCCCCUCCCCCUAUUAAAUGAGACUCAGGAACAUAGUGUAAAUGUGGGAGGGACUGAUUUUGAUAUGAACGUCUUAACCUAUUUUAAUCAAGAUGAAAAGAAUUUUGGGAAAAAAAGGUUACUUGUAUGCAAUACUCGCAAAUUCUAGAAAACACUUAUAUGCAAUACUCACAAAAUAUAUUCAAGAGAGAUAUAGGUUACAAGGUUACAUCACCUCUUUUAAAUCAUAAUUAAAGCAGCAAUUUUUCGUAUUUAUAUGGUUCUUACACUUCUACUUAAAAUUAGUUGUGAUGAACAACUCUCUAUAUAAUGUGUGUAAUUUUUAAAGACAUUUGUAAUAUUAAACAUUUUAAGAACUAGUGAGAUUUUCCGCGUUACGCAGCGGUCUUUCGAUUGGUAUCGGUUCGAUUUGUUAUGGUACCAGUAUUUGAUUUUAUAUUGAAAUGUUGACAAAUUUGGUCAAUAGCAGUCCGGUCAAUAGCAGUACGGUAUCUGAACUUAAUAUAGCUUAUCAUACUAAAAAAUAAUUUAUUUUGAAUACAACUCAUUUUCAAUAAAAUUUAUAACAUAAUGUAGUAAAAGAAAAUUUAAAUGCAUGUUUAGAUAUUAAAAAAGUUAAAUGAAUAUAGAUU
rnacentral:lncRNA from 1 species